GUUACGCGUUGCGGAGUGUUAAACUCAAAACAUCCUAAUUUUUAUAAAGUCUCUCAUGUUCUUCCCAUUGCUUGAAACGAUUCUGGAUACAUCUUUAGAAUCUGGUGACAAAUUGCGUGAGGUUGCCUUGGGUCAGAAAUUCAAUAGCAAUCAUGGGUAGAAAAUUAAACCAACCGGUGAAUUGGUCGCAAGCUGUGAGUGACAGAAAGCGAAGGAAGGAAAGAGUUGGCUAUUACCUACACAAGAGGCAUCUUUGAUAUUCAUGGCAAAGCUCUUUCACUGUAAAUCUCAUUAAUAAGGUAUAAAGGGAAGGACACAUCUCUUUGUCCACUGCAAUACUCUGGUGAUAUAACUAUUACUUUCUAAUAGGAAAUGUACCAUUAUGUUACAGAGUUUAGGUUAGGUUUACAUUUUUUGAGUUUUGUUUUUAAAUAUAAUUUGAUGUGUUAAUAGUACCAAACAAUAUCUGGCAUUGAACCAACUCUAAACCAGUCAGUCAAACAACCAAGCUGAUUCAAAUAUUAGGGGAGUAAAGGGUGUUUUGUGAUGUUAAAUGGAAUAGGAAAUGCUAGACUACAUAGUGCAACAACCCUGAAGACAGCCAUCUUCAUACUCGCUGCCAUGAGAACCUGUGAUAUCACUUGGUAAACCUGUAUGGGAAAGCUGUUGGUCACUACAUUUUAAGAAUCAAAACCCUUUGACGCGAGAAAGCUGAACAACUUAGUUCCCUAUACUUCCUACUGCAGUGGAGUUAGUGGGCUUAGUGGUGACACUUCUGUGACCUAUUCUUUGUCACCACUUGGGACAAAGAGCCACAAGAUUCUGAGUUACAGUGAAAAUAUAACAAAUACCCUUCAAGAUGUUGGAUGCCUCUUAUCUCCGAGAUGACUUCUACCUCAAUCUUAUUGACUGGUCUUCAGUGAAUGUAUUAAGUGUGUGAUUAGGAACUUGGUCUGCAAGCACAAAUCGGCUGGGAGUUUGUGUGAUUUAUCUGGAGGUGGCACCUCUGUAACUUCAAUUGCAUGGAAUGAGCACGUAAGUAUUGGACAGAUUAUUUUUACCUAGGUAAUUGAAAAGCAUUUCUGUUAAAUUUGAAUUUGAUUAAUGCUGUUUUUAUAGUUAAUCUUUAAAGUAUGAGUUAUGCAUCAAUGCAUUAUUAAUUGUAUAGGAAAAUUAUCAUGCAGUGCAUAAAGUAGAUUCAGCCUUUGUUGAUGUGUCACUGCAUUACAAUGUGACAUAUUGUUGGUUUACAAAUGACACACUUUUUUAAUGGCGAACAGGUUUUGUUAUAAUGUGGUCAAUAUUUCAUGGCCUUUUCAUAGCCUCCUCCCCUUUAACACCGUACUAUACUGUGCUUUUUUAUACCAUAUUAUUGGAGGUUUCAUUGAACUGUAGUUAACAUAUGACUUGAGAAUUUGCAUGUGAAGUUAAAGCAAAAUAAGGUCCCUUUCAUAUAGAGCAACACAGGAAUGCAAAGGGCUAUAUUAUUUGUCAGACUUGACUCUUUAUUAUCUCACUUUCCUCAGGCCUGUUUUGUGCCCAGUAAGUCUGUGGACUUCUGUUCUGAAUUCUGAAAGUUGCUAAAGUCCCCAUUUUGACUUUUCCCAAUUUUGGCCUCUUGUUUUUCCUGCAAUUCUGCAUCUAGUAAUCUUCCUUGUACCCAUCUUGAAUCAGUGUCAACUGCUACCCCCAUUUCUGUGGGUUCUCUCUGCUUUUCAUUUUAUGUUUUAUAUCCAUUCUGUGCAUUAAUAGAAGUUUGGAGAAUUUGGAUUUCUUGUUACAAACCUUCUGGAGGAAGGUGGAGAAGAAUUGUGUCCUCCGCCUGCCAAGUGAGGGAGACCAAGCCCAAAAUUUUAGUAGUAUGUCUUUUAGAGAUUUUAGAGAUUUAGCCAUAUUUAUUUCAGGAUACAUGCAUUUGUCUGUGUAACUUUGGCUUGUGGGUGUUUAGUGUUUGCAAACAUUACAGUAACACACUUUCAAGGUGGGUAUGAGAUGGGGCCUGUUCCGAAGGAGUUAUUUAUAUA